CUAAACUAGGUGUGAAUACCACACCAGGCCCUCUGCUGCACCCUAAACUAGGUGUGAAUACCACACCAGGCCCUCUGCUGCACCCUAAACUAGGUGUGAAUACCACACCAGGCCCUCUGCUGCACCCUAAACUAGGUGUGAAUACCACACCAGGCCCUCUGCUGCACCCUAAACUAGGUGUGAAUACCACACCAGGCCCUCUGCUGCACCCUAAACUAGGUGUGAAUACCACACCAGGCCCUCUCUGGAAACAAAGGGUUUGUUUUUAUGCCAAAGGACUUCAUUCUCACAUGUUAGCUUUAUUUGUUAAGGGUUCCUUACUUUUUGAUGGUUGUUAUUAUUGCUGAGAAAGUAUGAAUCGCUUUAACAUCAGAACCAUUAUUUUGCACUGAGCUAAACUUAUAGCUGAGCUAAACUGAUUUAAAUCCCCAAACCCACAAAAAGUUAACAAAUUUGCUUCAUUUUGGCUUAAUAUGAAAUUCCAGUGUGUGACCUAAUUGAGUGAUCUAAGAGUGUUUACCAAUGAAAGUGAUUGCUCUGUUUGUUCCUUAGUUAUGUAAUUGACACCACUCACCUUCAAUACCCAGUCUGCGCACCAGAGGGAGCCAGUACGCUGAGUAUUGAAGAAGUGAUAGUCGUAGCCAGUGUCAGUGGUGGAUUUGGAUUGAUACAGUAAUGAUCGUGGUUGUUGUAUAGAAGAAAAUAUACCUGUGGUAGUUUUUUGACAUUGUCAAUUUGUAUUUGAUUCUAAAAUGAAUUCCUGAGGCUUCCAGAUGGUCUGGAAACGACUGUGUUUGAUAAUUUUGCCUAAUCUAAGCAAUACUAUCUCUCUCAGAACUCUCUGAUUUAAAGAAAAUACUUGGAUAAAACAAACUAUAAUCAGCAAAUACUAUUAAUUAUCAAAUUCCCCAGAUCAACUGAAUUCAUAUUGUAUUAGUAAGUUAUUACACUCAUUUUAAUAUUUUUGGCUCGAGUUCGGAGACCAAAUGUGAGUUAUUUCUGAUGGCUCUACAAUGCUGUCAUAGCGAUAUUAUCUAGAUAUUUCUGUUUGUGAAUGAAACUGCGUUUGAGAGUUGGAUAUGGUGCAUAGGACUUGUGACAAGAGUGUUGUUGUGUGAUGUUGUACUGUAUGUCUGUGUGGUUGUAUAUGUGAGUGUUAUAACAUGCAUUAACUUAAUUUUUUUUCAGAAGGGGCCUGCAAUACAAUUGUCAUUGCAGCAUCUGAAAUGCUUUAUCGAGUUGAGCAAAAGGGGUAAGGACCUUGUCAUAGGUGUAACACUGACUGACCCAGUGUGUUCAGAAAUGUUGUCUUACUGAGCAAUGUCUUACAUAAUGUGUUUUUAAAAUCUAAAAAAAAUAAUGUAAUCUACAAGGUGUUCACAACUACUUUUCUGCCAACAAACCUCCAAGCACUAUUCCUGUUGAGAGACAAAGAAGCAUAGCUUUUGUUGUUCAGAUCAGUGCACCGCGAUGCAUCGGCUAUUAAGGUAAAUAGAAUACAAAGUUCUCAUCAGAGGGAUGUGUACCAUGACAUGUACUGGAAACACACAUAGACAUCAUGACUGCGCCAUGGACAGUAUUUUGUUACCCAUAACAUGUAUUUGUCUAUACAGUCUAUUACCACAUUUCAGAACGUCAAUGUGUGUGCCAUGAAUUCAAAUGUUUGGAAUCUGAUGAGGACGAGUAAGAAUUGGGUUGUCUGUUUUUGGUUCUAUCCCUGUGUGAUUGUGGGUAAUCCUUGGUUUACACUGCAAUAACUCAAAGGGGACAUUCUGCAACAGAUGACCCCUAGAGUUUUAAAUAGCACCAACUGCCAUCUGACCGUACGAAGCCCUGUCCUAGAAUCCUCCUCUCUGUGUUCCUCAUGAGUUUAUAGCCCAUGACACCCCCUCAGUUCUCUCCAGUGUUGUACAAAAUGCCACUUACUUUCCACUGACAAGUCUGCCCCUCAGCAAUUGCAUGCACAAUACAACUCGGAUAAUGUGUGUGAAUGGAUUUGGACAAUCCAUUAUAGACAAUGGUGUGCAAAACAAGUGACACAUGUAGAUAAUGUAUAAUAUGUUAUUUUUUAAUUUUGUACCAGCGAACCGCUGAUGUUUAUAACUUGCCUAUUUAUGUACAAAUGUUCUCCUGUACAUACUGAGCAGUCAGUUGGAAUAAAAUGUUUUACAGUAAAAA